rnacentral:sRNA from 1 species
UGAAUGCAGUGUGUGAAUCAUAGGGAAAAAAAACCAAAAA